UAAACUUGAUUAAUACUAUUUAGACCAAACAUACAAAAACCAAUUCAAAUUAUAACAGGUGCAGUAGGGUAGAAGGAACGCCAUUGAUGAAAAUGAAAUCAAUGGAAGCCAAGCCCCUCCUAUUCCUCUUCCUCUCCAAUCCAUCAAAAUCCAUUACCAUCUCUCCUUUCUCGCACCAGUUGUUUGCAUUGUUUUCUUCUUCAAUUGAUAUACCAAAACUCGCCACCAAUUCGGAAGUAGUAACAACAUUGACACAAGAAGAAGUAACCAAAAUCAACCUUCUAAUCCCACGUUUAUGUCUAUUAAACCACUUAACCACCGCAAUCCAAUUAAUCACAACCUCUCUCCUCGCUAACCCACCUCCAAAGUCCCUUUCGUUUUCCAUUCUCACUCACUCUCUCACUUCCCAACCAGACAUGACCAAACCCAUGUCACUUCUCACCAUUCUUAGGCACACCCCACAAGCACAUUCACAUCUUUCACCUAUAAACACCAUGCUUAUCACUUCAUAUAUAAAAAAGAAGAGACCCAAAGAGGCCUUGAAAGUGUACAAUUGGAUGCUUAGGCCUGGCUCUCCAUGUAAAGUUGAAAAGAUUGUAUUUUGUGUUUUGCUUAAUGGGUUGUGUGAGAUUGGUUGGGUUCUUGAGGGUUUGAAGAUUUUGAAAGACAUGGUCAUUGUGGGGUUUUUGCCUAUUGGUGGGUUAAAGGAAAGGGUCUAUAAGAGUUUGUUGAGCGAGGCUAGGGUGAAGGAGGCAGUGGAGUUAGAUAAGGCUUUAUGUGAUUGUUUUGAGGAUGUUAGUGGUGAGGGUGGUAAGAAAGUUAUUGACUUGUUGGAUUCUUUAAUUAGGAACUGGUCCGAGUAAGAAGCAGUCUUAAGGUUUUACCUUAUAGAUGACGCAAUGAGUUUCUGAGACCACUCUCUAUCUCCGUCAAAUCCUUUUUGAGCAGGCUGUGCUUUGCCAUUAAGGAAUAUCAAGGCACCGAUUCUCUCCCCAUCAGUUUCUUUCUUAAGUUUUUGAUCCUUGUGAUGUUUGUUCCAACAAUACUGUGGAGCUAUCAUAUAGGAUUGAAGGAAGCAAACAUAUUGCCAUUUUAUUUGGGAAUAGGAGAUGAUAGGAUGGUUAUUGAUGUGAUAUCAAUGUUUUAAGAUUAGGGAAAGCUCACAUACCAUUCUGACUCGAGUACAGAGUAUCUUCAUUUUCGGGGGUCUAGGACUUGUGUAUCAUCUGGAAGACUUUAAUCUCAUCCGUGCUACUUUCCUUGUAAACUUGCAGAUUCAAUUAUUCGUAUUUUACCCACUUUA